GUUCGCCGGACGGCCUUUUGACAUAAUUGACGGUUGUUUUUACUUAGCUAUUGGGUGUAGUUGUUGUUCAUUUAAUAAAGAUUUUUGAUAUUAUAAACGAAUUGUUCAUAUUUUAUGCCCGAAGUUAACACAAAUGGCAGUACAGCAGAUCAUUCAAUACAUGCUGAGACAUGAAUUCACAUUUCUACCACUAUGCUAAAUAUCAAUAUCCUACGUUGAAAAUGUACUAGACGAUACUGCUAAUAAUAAUGGUUUUGUGCAACGUGCGUGUAAUGGAUGGCAGUAUAGCAGAUCAUUCAAUACAUGCUGACACAUGAAUUCACAUUUCUACCACUACGCUAAAUAUCAACAUCCUACGUUGAAAAUGUACUAGACGACACUGCUAAUAAUAAUGGUUUUGUGCAACGUGCGUGUAAUGGAUGGCAGUAUAGCAGAUCACUCGAGGCAUGCUGAGACCAUGAAUUAACAUUUCUAUCACUUGGGAAAGUUACAACAUCUUCCGUUGAAAAUGGAAUAGAAG